AUGGAGACGGUCGAUCAUUUGUUGCUAACCUAUCUCUUCUCCCGCACGGUGUGGUUCGAGGCGCUCUAGGUCUGGGGUUGUGGAGAUUGGGCGCCCUUUCAAGCCGAUCGCCUCAUGCCUUGGUGCUCAUCGAUGGCCGCGUCCCUGACGAACAAGAAGGACAUCAACACCUUCGCGGCUCUAGUUCUUUGGGAGACGUGGAAGCACCGCAACACGGUGGUUUUUGACGGUGCCACCCCCAUCUGUGCGGGAUGCCCUUCGCCAAAUUCUGCAGGUCGCGUCAGAAUGGGUUCAGGCAGGGUUCUUUAA
rnacentral:rRNA from 1 species